rnacentral:lncRNA from 1 species
GCCUGUUGUGAGGCCAGGGAUUGUGCAGCUUUCCCAGAGCCUGGCAUUUUACAUUGUUUGUAGUCUGCAUUUUGGUGUCAUUACUCAGUGGUAUAAAAGUGCGUGCAUGCGUGUUGGGGGGGAAUAAUUGUGCCAUUAAUGAUUGCUAUUUUGAUUACAGGAUGCAAUUGUCACUGCGGUUGGAAGCCAAUCAACGCGUUGUGAGUGGGAGCCCGCUGGUACUUUCCAAUGGUCCUUGAUUAAAAAGGAAGCUCUUGGCUAUCUUCAAGCAGCAGGAGAGGAAACAGCACGGUGAAGUGCACCUGCAGGUUAUGCAGACUGUUGCUGGCCUCUUCACACACUCCGUCUCUUUGCAGUUGAAGAAGCAUGCAACUGGAAUCCAGAGCAAAGCAAGUGACAAGAGAGGUUGGCUCUCACCCCAGCCCACAGAGAGGAUUUCAAUUAUCUGGUGGGAAACACAUGGCCUCUGGUACCUGGAGUGCUCUUGUCUGGCUUGAGAGUUAUCUGAUCUUCUGUUUUGCUACGGUUAAAUGAAAGUGGAGAUGUAUUUGGAAUUUAAAGGUGUAUGUUCCUACAUAAGCUGUGUUAGCCAUUAAUAUGGAAUUGAACUUGCUGCAUAAAAAGGUCCCUGUCAGACCAUGGCCUUGUACUGUGAUGUGUUUGCUACAUGAUAUUCAGCCCCACAAAAAACAACAGAAUGUAAACAAGCUUCAAUAGUCACUCAGUCUAACUGCAGGCGUCUGUGUCCUAUGCUUUCAGAAUCAUUCCCAUAGCUGCAAAGGGGUCUAAAAACCUUAUUAUGCUCUUUUCCCCUUAUAAACCUUGCUAAUGCAUCCUUCUUUUUAGCUUGUUAAAUGCUGAAAGGCAAACACU